CACGCUGUAAACGAUGUCGAUUUGGAGGUUGUGCCCUUGAGGCGUGGCUUCCGGAGCUAACGCGUUAAAUCGACCGCCUGGGGAGUACGGCCGCAAGGUUAAAACUCAAAUGAAUUGACGGGGGCCCGCACAAGCGGUGGAGCAUGUGGUUUAAUUCGAUGCAACGCGAAGAACCUUACCUGGUCUUGACAUCCACAGAACUUAGCAGAGAUGCUUUGGUGCCUUCGGGAACUGUGAGACAGGUGCUGCAUGGCUGUCGUCAGCUCGUGUUGUGAAAUGUUGGGUUAAGUCCCGCAACGAGCGCAACCCUUAUCCUUUGUUGCCAGCGGUCCGGCCGGGAACUCAAAGGAGACUGCCAGUGAUAAACUGGAGGAAGGUGGGGAUGACGUCAAGUCAUCAUGGCCCUUACGACCAGGGCUACACACGUGCUACAAUGGCAUAUACAAAGAGAAGCGACCUCGCGAGAGCAAGCGGACCUCAUAAAGUAUGUCGUAGUCCGGAUUGGAGUCUGCAACUCGACUCCAUGAAGUCGGAAUCGCUAGUAAUCGUAGAUCAGAAUGCUACGGUGAAUACGUUCCCGGGCCUUGUACACACCGCCCGUCACACCAUGGGAGUGGGUUGCAAAAGAAGUAGGUAGCUUAACCUUCGGGAGGGCGCUUACCACUUUGUGAUUCAUGACUGGGGUGAAGUC
rnacentral:rRNA from 1 species